rnacentral:tRNA from 1 species
GGCUCGGUAGCCUAGUUGGUAAAGCACUGGGUAAAGCCUGGCUCGUGAGUUCGAUUCUCGCUUGAGCUG